rnacentral:lncRNA from 1 species
AUUUAUUAAUAGCUUGUUUUUGUCUCAGCAGUGUCUAUUAAAAACCAGCAUUUUCUGUCCAGGCCUUAGAUUUGCUUAACAUGACAAAGCAAAAUUCUUUUAAUCACCUUUUUUAUUUUCAGCAGUUUUUCAUUAUUCCUUCAGAAUGUUGAUUCUAAUUCAAACUCAUUUUUCUCAGGGAACUGAGUGCUUUAUUUUACACUCUGUAGUCUUCUACAAGGGAAUCGUGCAAGGUAAUACCCUUAUAUGUCUCAAUAUCGCAUAUCUUUUUUUUAUGGGAGCAUCUCUCUGUAAGUUCAUUGUUACACUGACACCAACUUGAAGACCCAGACCUUUUCAUCUCAGUGCUUGUUUCUGGUUGACGAACACAUCAAUUAUGGGAUAAGUUCAUGAUGGCAGCUCCCACAAUUCUCUCUGCCAAACUUCAUUCAGCUGCAAUGUCAUGUCCACAAGUUAUUCUGGUUUGUCUCCCUGGUCUUUCCCAAAUUAAAGAGCUCAGCAGGUUUAAACAGAAAUUUUCAUCUCUACACUUCUUUCUAUUCCAUCUGGGACAAAAAUGCAUUAAGGGAAGCACUGGAAGGCUGACAAGGAAUCGUGCUGCUGCAGGGCUGGGGCCAGAGCACCGCAGGGACGCCUCGCUCCAGAUUGCUUCAAGGGACACCAGAUCACGUUUUGGAAGGCAGAUGUUUAGGGAAGGCCUCAGGAGCUCAGAGAAUGUUGCUGUCAUCAACAGACCGGGCACCAGGAAGGAACCAAUUGUCGCGAGCUUCCUCCUUCUCCCCAUUUAGUCAAGAGCUUUCCAUGCCUGCAGUGAUUCUCAGCCUCACCAUGACAAGCAGGGAGAGUGACUGAUGAAAUGAUGCAUGUCCUGGCUUACUCCACGGCUGACUGCUCCGUUUCCCUCGCGUUUCCCGCUUGCACCGACCGCUGUACUGCAGCCAUAUAGAUUAUAUGACAAGUCAAGUUUGGGUUGAAUGGAGUACUGCCAUCUCUUGGUUAUUUUGGGCAGAUCAACUCACAUAUUUUUUCAUUUUCCUGCCACUUAAGAAUGGUAGGAAGCAACAUAGAAAAACAACUAUUCUGGAUGAAAAGUUUAGGCACUUAGGAAGCAUAAUUGUGGCUUUUAUAUAUUUAAGCAUGUAGAACAGAGUACAUUUGCUGGUGUAUUGGACCUCUGUGUAACUUCUGUUAAGUGUUUUAAACAAAACUAUAAACCAUGAACAGUUGGAAAAGAUUAUACAUUAUGUGAACACCACAAAGAAUGGAAAGUGAUGGAGUUUUAUAGAUAAUUGUUGUCAAUAAAGGCAUUAAAAUAAAUGCA